AUUGAACGCUGGCGGCAGGCUUAACACAUGCAAGUCGAGCGAGCGGCGGACGGGUGAGUAAUGUCUGGGAAACUGCCUGAUGGAGGGGGAUAACUACUGGAAACGGUAGCUAAUACCGCAUACCAUCAGAUGUGCCCAGAUGGGAUUAGCUAGUAGGUGGGGUAAUGGCUCACCUAGGCGACGAUCCCUAGCUGGUCUGAGAGGAUGACCGGCCACACUGGGACUGGGACACGGCCCAGACUCCUACGGUAGGCAGCAGUGGGGAAUAUUGCGCAAUGGGCGAAAGACUGAUGCAGCCAUGCCGCGUGUGUGAAGAAGGCCUUCGGGUUGUAAAGCACUUUCGGCAGGGAGGCGUUACCUGCAGAAAAAGCACCGGCUAACUACGUGCCAGCAGCCGCGGUAAUAC
rnacentral:rRNA from 1 species